AAAGAAAAUGUUUAAAAAUACAUUUGUUAAAAAACCAGAAGCCUGCCUUUUAGGUUUAAUCAGGAAGUGCCAAGAGAGGAUAAAAGACUUUUUAUGUAUGCAGUGGUGGUGGCAAGAAUGUUAUUAACCCAAAGAUUGAAAGCAUUGCCAACAAAGGAAGAAUGGCAGACAAAAUUGAUGGACUAUGCAGAAAUGGCGAAACUGACGGGGAAGAUCAGAAACCAAGAUGACCAAAUACUUGUAGAGUGUGGGGUAAAUUUGUAGUUUAUUUAAAAAACACAAUUUAAACAGUUAAAAUCAUUGGCAGCAUUAUAAUGACAUUUGUAAUGUGAAAUUGAUUGUGAUAAAUUAGGAAUACAUAAUAGUUGGGAAAAGUGUAAGAUGCAAAAAAUUAAUUUUUAAGAUUUAAGAACCCAUGGGAGGGAGGGAAGUCAGAAGGUUCAGAGGACCUUGUUAUUGGAUAUAUGUGUGAGAGAUAAGAUGUAUAAAACUGGAAACUAAUAAAAAAAUCAUUUAAAAAAAUAUAUGUGUUGGUGCUGACCUUUAAAGCCCUAAACGGCUUCCGCCCAGUAUGCCUGAAGGAGCAUCUCCACCCCCAUCAUUGAGCCCAGACACUGAGGUCCAGCUCCGAGGGCCUCCUGGUGGUUCCCUCACUGCAAGAAACGAAGUUAUAGGGAACAAGGCUGAGGGCCUUCUUGGUAGUGGCACCCGCCCUGUGGAAACAAGCAACUAUCUGACUUUUAGAAGGCACUGAAAGCAGCCCUGUUUAGGGAAGUUUUAAAUGUCUGAUGUUUUAUUAUAAUUUUAAUUUCACUCAUUAAUACUCAGUGGAUUUUCCACGGUCAACAUUUGGUGUUUGGAAUCCAUUAUUAUUGGAAAUUGGACUUGGUUGCCAGUAGUUCCUCAUUCAUAUUAAAGUGGGGGUUUUUUUUGCGGGGGGUGUUGUAUGUUCACUAGGCAUUCAGACACCUCUUUAUUGUCAACAAAUUUUCCAUGGUGGUUUCUGACUAGGCAGAAACCAGAUCCCUUCUGGGUUCCCCUUGGCAAGGCCUGCAUCAUACGAGGCCAGUGUAACACGGAGCAGGGACUUCUGGGUGGCUGCCCCUGUUCUGUUCUGCAUUGCUAGGGGUUGGCCUUGUAUGAUACAGGAUUUGCCAAGGGGAACCCGAAAGGGAUCUGGUUUCUGCCUAGUCAGAAACCACCAUGGAAAGUUUGCCAAUAUCUAAAGGUGUCCAAACGCUUAGUGAACAUACAACACACACACACACACCCCGCGCUUUCAUAUGAAUGAGGAACUAGUGGCAACCAAGUCCAGUUUCCAAUAAUAAUGUGGUGGAGGCAGGGAUGGUGUCUCCAGUUCCCCGACAUGCUGGGUGCUUCCCCACAACAGGAAGUUAUUGAAGAGGAGCCGCUGGCAUCGCUCUGUCUUACACCAAGCGAUGGAAACCAUAAUCCACAUGACGUAAGUAUGGGGAGGUACUUCUAGUCUCCCUACAGCUUGUCACUGCCCCACCUAUUCCUGGCACCUCCCUUGCCAUACCCUGAAAUUGUACCCCUUGGCCAGGUACAGUGCACCCGGUUUAUUUCCUCCCCCCUUCUUUUUCUUUCUUCUUCAGUGCCCACUCUUCUCCCCUAGGAGGACCCACUUGGUGUGGUGGAGGCAGGGAUGGUGUCUCCAGUUCCCUGACAUGCUGUGUGCUUCCCCACAACAGGAGGUUAUCAAAGAGGAGCCGCUGGCAUCGCUCUCAGUCUUACACCAAGCGAUGGAAACCAUAAUCCGCAUGACUCAAGUACAGGGAGGUACUUCUAGUCUCCCUACAGCUUGUCACUGCCCCACCUAUUCCUGGCACCUCCCCUGCCAUACCCUGAAAUUGUACCCAUUCACCAGGCACUAUUUCAGUCCUCUGCAUCUCAGCGAGUAGGAAAAAAAAGAGAGGGGCAGGGCUUCCCCCAAAGCUGUAGUUUGUUAAGGGUGCUAAUAGUUGUUGGGAGACCCCCCCACCCCCUAAUUCUCCUCCCAGGGCUACAAUUCCCAGAGCUCCUGGGAAAGGAGGAUUGUUUGCUAAACCAAUCCUGGGACUUAGCUACAUUAGUCAAAUUAUGAUGUUUUAAAUGCAUUUUAACACUGUGGCACCAGAUAGUGUUGCAGAGCUGAAAUCGCAACUUGGUGAUAUACGUUAUAUGUAGGGCUGUAAAGGGAAGUUUUCUUUCAACCCAACAGGGCUGUCUCUGAAAACAGUUCAGACAUUUCAGUUAGUGCAGAAUUUGGCAGCAAGGUUGCUCAAGACGGUUUGAACAUCUUACACUGAUCCUGGCCUGACUGCACCAGCUGCCAAUUAGUUUCUGGAUCCAAGAGGAAGUCUCAGGUCCAGUUGCUCGUCUUGCCUGAACUGGUGCAGCGCCAGCCCACCAGGGUUCAGCCACUGACCAGCAGGGUAGAUGAUACAAAUAUUACAGAUGUAAGCUCCGAGAUUCAAAGAGCAAAGAGACAGUCAACAAAUACCUGAACUUGUUUCUGAGGUAUUUGCUUCUCAUCUACCAUGCUGGUCACUGCCUGAACCUUGGUGGGCUGGCACUGCACCAGUUCAGGCAAGACGAGCAACUGGACCUGAGUCUUGGCCUCCAAGUCCAGUUUCCAAUAAUAAUGGAUUGCAAACACCAAAUGUUGACUAUGGAAAAUCCACUGAGUAUUCAUGAGAGUGAAAUUCCAUUAUUACCCCCCUCUCUGCUGUGUGUUUGUGUGCCUCCACCUCAAUUUUGUAAAAUCCCUUCUCCUUUUAGAACUAGCUACUAGGCUAGAUGAACAAGUAGCCUGCACUGGCAGAAAUAAGUUUCCUGUGUUUCUAUAGGCAGCUAAAUCUCAAAGCAGAUUUAUGGAGGAUG